UACAGAGGGGGCAAGCGUUAUCCGGAUUCACUGGGUUUAAAGGGUGCGUAGGCGGGCAGGUAAGUCCGUGGUGAAAUCUCUGAGCUUAACUCAGAAACUGCCAUGGAUACUAUUUGUCUUGAAUAUUGUGGAGGUGAGCGGAAUAUGUCAUGUAGCGGUGAAAUGCUUAGAUAUGACAUAGAACACCAAUUGCGAAGGCAGCUUACUACGCAGUUAUUGACACUGAGGCACGAAAGCGUGGGGGAUCAAACAGG
rnacentral:rRNA from 1 species